AUUGAACGCUGGCGGCAGGCUUAACACAUGCAAGUCGAGCGGGGUGAUGGUGCUUGCACUAUCACUUAGCGGCGGACGGGUGAGUAAUGCUUAGGAAUCUGCCUAUUAGUGGGGGACAACAUCUCGAAAGGGAUGCUAAUACCGCAUACGUCCUACGGGAGAAAGCAGGGGAUCACUUGUGACCUUGCGCUAAUAGAUGAGCCUAAGUCGGAUUAGCUAGUUGGUGGGGUAAAGGCCUACCAAGGCGACGAUCUGUAGCGGGUCUGAGAGGAUGAUCCGCCACACUGGGACUGAGACACGGCCCAGACUCCUACGCGAGGCAGCAGUGGGGAAUAUUGGACAAUGGGGGGAACCCUGAUCCAGCCAUGCCGCGUGUGUGAAGAAGGCCUUAUGGUCGUAAAGCACUUUAAGCGAGGAGGAGGCUCUUUUGGUUAAUACCCAAGAUGAGUGGACGUUACUCGCAGAAUAAGCACCGGCUAACUCCGUGCCAGCCGCCGCCGUAA
rnacentral:rRNA from 1 species